rnacentral:rRNA from 1 species
GACGAACGCUGGCGGCGUGCUUAACACAUGCAAGUCGAACGGUCAAGCACCUUCCUUUUGGUUGUUGUGUAUGCGUGGCGAACGUGUGAGUCACACGUGAGUAACCUGUCCCCUUCUUCUGUAUAUCCGCAUGACAGUGUGGCUAAUACGGGAUAUUCUGCGCCUGUCUCAUGGCGUGCCUGGGAAUGAUUUUGUUUCGGUGUGUGGUUGGCUCGCGGCCUAUCUGCUUGUUGGUGGGGUGAUGGACUACCAAGGCGGUGACGAGUAGCCGGGCUGAGAGGGUGGACGAUCACAGUGGGAAUGCGACACGGCGAAGACUACUACGGACGGCAGCAGUGGGGAAUAUUGAACAAGGGGAGCAAGGAUGAUGCAGCGACGCCGCGUGAAGGAUGGAGGCCUUCGGGUUGUACACCUCUUUCGCCAGUGAAGCAGGCCGGUCGUUUUUGUGGGUGGGUUGACGGUAGCUGGAUAAGAAGCGCCGGCUAACUACGUG